UACAGAGACUGCAAGCGUUAUUCGGAUUCAUUGGGCGUAAAGGGUGCGUAGGCGGCGGGGCAAGUCGGAUGUGAAAUCUCAGGGCUCAACCCUGAAACUGCAUUCGAUACUGCCUUGCUCGAGGACUGGAGAGGAGAUUGGAAUUCACGGUGUAGCAGUGAAAUGCGUAGAUAUCGUGAGGAAGACCAGUGGCGAAGGCGGAUCUCUGGACAGUUCCUGACGCUGAGGCACGAAGGCCAGGGGAGCAAACGGGG
rnacentral:rRNA from 1 species